rnacentral:rRNA from 1 species
GACGAACGCUGGCGGCGUGCUUAACACAUGCAAGUCGAACGGAAAGGCCCUGCUUUUGUGGGGUGCUCGAGUGGCGAACGGGUGAGUAACACGUGAGUAACCUGCCCUUGACUUUGGGAUAACUUCAGGAAACUGGGGCUAAUACCGGAUAGGAGCUCCUGCUGCAUGGUGGGGGUUGGAAAGUUUCGGUGGUUGGGGAUGGACUCGCGGCUUAUCAGCUUGUUGGUGGGGUAGUGGCUUACCAAGGCUUUGACGGGAAGCCGGCCUGAGAGGGUGACCGGCCACAUUGGGACUGAGAUACGGCCCAGACUCCUACGGGAGGCAGCAGUGGGGAAUAUUGCACAAUGGGCGGAAGCCUGAUGCAGCAACGCCGCGUGCGGGAUGACGGCCUUCGGGUUGUAAACCGCUUUCGCCUGUGACGAAGCGUGAGCGACGGUAAUGGGUAAAGAAGCACCGGCUAACUACGUG